rnacentral:rRNA from 1 species
UACGGGGGGGGGCAAGCGUUGUUCGGAAUUACUGGGCGUAAAGGGCGCGUAGGCGGCCUUCUAAGUCAGACGUGAAAUCCCUCGGCUCAACCGAGGAACUGCGUCUGAUACUGGAUGGCUUGAGUUUGGGAGAGGGAUGCGGAAUUCCAGGUGUAGCGGUGAAAUGCGUAGAUAUCUGGAGGAACACCGGUGGCGAAGGCGGCAUCCUGGACCAACACUGACACUGAGGAGCGAAAGCCAGGGGAGCAAACGGG